UCCUUCCAUGAAGGUGGUAAUUUCUCAAUUAGUGCAGCGACUUGGAAUGAUUCACUUAGUUUCAUUUCUUCGGCAUGGAUGUCGCUAAGUAUGAUCUGAAGUUCUUGAACUUGGGAUAUGACAGUCUUGUUGUCAACCAUUUUAUAAUCCAAAAAACGACCGACAAUGAAUUUCUUCGUGCCGGCAUCUUCGGUUUUGUACUUUGUGUCCAAAGAUUCCCACAGUUCUUUUGC
rnacentral:lncRNA from 1 species